AACGGCCAUACCAUGCUGAAUAUACCGGUUCUCGUUAGAUCACCGAAGUCAAGCAUCAUUGGGCGCGGUCAGUACUUGGGUGGGUGACCACCUGGAAACACCGCCUGCCGU
rnacentral:rRNA from 1 species